AGUCUCGGGUGAGAUCACCACGGAGCGGCUUAGCGCGGCGCACAAGUCUCGCGAGAGAAGCGGCGGCUGGGCCCUGCAGGCGGAGGAAGUGGAAAAAGUCGCGGGAGGGUAGGGGACCGCGGAACUUCUGGUUGCUAUGACGACGGCAAAGCCCUGGAUUCCUGUCUCCUGCGGAGAGCAGAGGCUGCAAACACUAGUCUCACUCUGUUGCCCAGGCUGGAGUGCAGUGGCGCGAUCUCAGCUUACUUCAGCCUCCGCCUCCCGGUUUCAAGUGAAUUCUCCAGCCUCAACUUCACAAGUAGCUGGGAUUACAGGGCAUUCAAGCAGCCCUGAGGAGAGGUCCACAUGGUGAGCCACUGAGGGCCUUGCCAAGAGCCAGCACCAACGGUCCAGGUUUGGAGUGUACCACCUUGGAAGUGAAUCUUCCAGUCCAGUCAAGCCUUCAGAUGACUUCAGAACCGUCCAUGUAAGCCACUCUUGGAUUCCUGACCCACAGAAACUGUUGGAGGCAUUAUCAACAGUUUCUAACAUCACAGACAGACAAACAUGUGCCUCCUGAUUGAAAAAACAGAACAUCACCUGUAGUCUUGCCAGUGAGAUCAAACUGAAGUCCAAUUAACCUCUGGAUCCAGCUGCCAAUUUGCAGGAAAUAGAGGAGAGAAGCAUCUGUUGAACUGCACCAUGAGUAUACACUCAGCAAAGGCCAAACUGUGGAAAAUGAUACAGGUCAAACAGCCUGGAUUCUUUAACAGUAAGUGAUGUUUCUGAAGCACCAAUGAAAAUGAAGUCCUGAAGUCCUGUGCUCAAUAUGAAAUGUUGGAAGUUAGAAGAAAAAAACAAAACUUGGAUCCAAUCUCAAGGCACUUUUUGUUUAAUGGGAAGAAGUGGAUUAUUUUAAAAGCUACAAAUAAAGUUACAUAAAAGUA
rnacentral:lncRNA from 1 species